rnacentral:rRNA from 1 species
CCUACGGGUGGCAGCAGUGGGGAAUAUUUGACAAUGGGGGCAACCCUGAUCCAGCCAUGCCGCGUGUGUGAAGAAGGCCCUCGGGUUGUAAAGCACUUUCAGUGAGGAAGAACGCCUGGUGGUUAAUACCCAUCAGGAAAGACAUCACUCACAGAAGAAGCACCGGCUAACUCCGUGCCAGCAGCCGCGGUAAUACGGAGGGUGCGAGCGUUAAUCGGAAUUACUGGGCGUAAAGCGCGCGUAGGUGGCUUGAUAAGCCGGUUGUGAAAGCCCCGGGCUCAACCUGGGAACGGCAUCCGGAACUGUCAAGCUAGAGUGCAGGAGAGGAAGGUAGAAUUCCCGGUGUAGCGGUGAAAUGCGUAGAGAUCGGGAGGAAUACCAGUGGCGAAGGCGGCCUUCUGGACUGACACUGACACUGAGGUGCGAAAGCGUGGGUAGCAAACAGGAUUAGAUACCCUAGUAGUC